rnacentral:rRNA from 1 species
CCUAGGGAGGCAGCAGUGGGGAAUAUUGCACAACGGGGGAAACCCUGAUGCAGCAACGCCGCGUGAGUGAAGAAGUAUUUCGGUAUGUAAAGCUCUAUCAGCAGGGAAGAAAAUGACGGUACCUGAGUAAGAAGCCCCGGCUAACUACGUGCCAGCAGCCGCGGUAAUACGUAGGGGGCAAGCGUUAUCCGGAUUUACUGGGUGUAAAGGGAGCGUAGACGGCGAUACAAGUCUGAAGUGAAAGCCCGGGGCUCAACCCCGGGACUGCUUUGGAAACUGUGUUGCUGGAGUGCUGGAGAGGCAAGCGGAAUUUCUAGUGUAGCGGUGAAAUGCGUAGAUAUUAGGAAGAACACCAGUGGCGAAGGCGGCUUGCUGGACAGUAACUGACGUUGAGGCUCGAAAGCGUGGGGAGCAAACAGGAUUAGAUACCCGGGUAGUC